GGGGGUGAUCGGUUUCGACUGUGGAUGUCGAAGCAGGGGAAGCGAGCCGAGGAAGCGGUAAUGAUCUCGUUAACCAUAUGCCGCAAAAAAAUAAUCGCCGAUUCCAAGCGCGAUUCCUUCGCCCUCGCUGCCUGAUUAGAACAGUCAGCGACCACGCGAAGUGUCGGACCGGGAGUGUUCCCGACCCGGACCCCGGCAUCAUCUAGGGAACUCCACCGCUAGUCCCGGCCACGGGGGCUAGCGGAAAACCUCACAGUGGCUGGGCCUGUCGGAGACUUGUCUGCGUGAUCUCCGGGGCCGAGAAACUCGUAGCAGACUGCGCUCGGAGAAGCCCUGGUUUUACACCACAGGACGCGGGUUCGAUUCCCGCCACCUCCACCA
rnacentral:tmRNA from 1 species